UUCAUAGCAACAGAACUUCAACGAUGACUUUUAUCAUGAGCUUCGUGUGGAUAUUGAUGUCUUUAAUUCACGAAUCCAGAGGACAGGUCACUGUGACUCAGACUCCUGCAGUGAAAGCUGUUCUCCCAGGACAGACAGUCCUUCUGAACUGUAAAACCAGCAGUGAUGUGUAUCAAGCAGGGACCUCUUCUCCCCGUCUAGCCUGGUACCACCAGAAACCUGGAGAAGCUCCUAAACUCUUUAUUUACUAUGCUACAACACUUCAGUCUGGGACUCCUUCUAGAUUCAGUGGUAGUGGAACUCAUAGUGACUUCACUCUGACCAUCAGUGGAGUCCAGGCUGAAGAUGCAGGAGAUUACUACUGUCAGAGUUACCACAGUGGUGGAGUGUUCACACAGUGA